UUUUUAGUAUAAAAGUGUAUCCCAUGCAAUAUUUGGGACAUGCUUAUACUAAAA
rnacentral:pre_miRNA from 1 species